CGGAGGGUGCGAGCGUUAAUCGGAAUUACUGGGCGUAAAGCGCACGUAGGCGGUCAGGCAAGUCGGGUGUGAAAGCCCUGGGCUCAACCUGGGAAUUGCAUUCGAAACUAUCUGACUAGAGUAUGGGAGAGGGAAGCGGAAUUUCCGGUGUAGCGGUGAAAUGCGUAGAUAUCUGGAGGAAUACCGGUGGCGAAGGCGGCAUCCUGGACCGACAUUGACGCUGAACGGCGAAAGCUAGGGGAGCAAACGGGAUUAGAUACCCCGGUAGUCCUAGCCCUAAACGAUGAAUGCUUGGUGUGGCGGGUAUCGAUCCCUGCCGUGCCGAAGCUAACGCAUUAAGCAUUCCGCCUGGGGAGUACGGUCGCAAGGCUG
rnacentral:rRNA from 1 species